rnacentral:sRNA from 2 species
GUGCAGCGCGCCUAGGGAUCCGGUCGCAAGACGACGCAGGACCGAGAGGUGCAAGCCGGUUGAGAGGCACAUGCCGAUAUAGACCGGUGACACGGCGGGACAAAAACCCGGGAGAC